rnacentral:rRNA from 1 species
GAUGAACGCUGGCGGCGUGCUUAACACAUGCAAGUCGAACGAUGAAAGCGGGAGCUUGCUCCUGCUGGAUUAGUGGCGAACGGGUGAGUAACACGUGAGCAAUCUGCCCCGAACUCUGGGAUAAGCGUUGGAAACGACGUCUAAUACCGGAUACGACGCGCGAAGGCAUCUUCUGCGCGUGGAAAGAACUUCGGUUCGGGAUGAGCUCGCGGCCUAUCAGCUAGUUGGUGAGGGAACGGCCCACCAAGGCGACGACGGGUAGCCGGCCUGAGAGGGUGACCAGCCACACUGGGACUGCGACACGGCCCAGACUCCUACGGGAGGCAGCAGUGGGGAAUAUUGCACAAUGGGCGCAAGCCUGAUGCAGCAACGCCGCGUGAGAGACGACGGCCUUCGGGUUGUAAACCUCUUUUAGUAGGGAAGAAGCGAAAGUGACGGUACCUGCAGAAAAAGCACCGGCUAACUACGUGCCAGCCGCCGCAGUAAUAC